rnacentral:rRNA from 1 species
AUACAUGCAAGUAGAACGCUGAAGACUUUAGCUUGCUAAAGUUGGAAAAGUUGCGAACGGGUGAGUAACGCGUAGGUAACCUGCCUACUAGCGGGGGAUAACUAUUGGAAACGAUAGCUAAUACCGCAUAACAGCAUUUAACACAUGUUAGAUGCUUGAAAGGAGCAAUUGCUUCACUAGUAGAUGGACCUGCGUUGUAUUAGCUAGUUGGUGAGGUAACGGCUCACCAAGGCGACGAUACAUAGCCGACCUGAGAGGGUGAUCGGCCACACUGGGACUGAGACACGGCCCAGACUCCUACGGGAGGCAGCAGUAGGGAAUCUUCGGCAAUGGGGGCAACCCUGACCGAGCAACGCCGCGUGAGUGAAGAAGGUUUUCGGAUCGUAAAGCUCUGUUGUAAGAGAAGAACGUGUGUGAGAGUGGAAAGUUCACACAGUGACGGUAACUUACCAGAAAGGGACGGCUAACUACGUGCCAGCAGCCGCGGUAAUACGUAGGUCCCGAGCGUUGUCCGGAUUUAUUGGGCGUAAAGCGAGCGCAGGCGGUUUAAUAAGUCUGAAGUUAAAGGCAGUGGCUUAACCAUUGUUCGCUUUGGAAACUGUUAGACUUGAGUGCAGAAGGGGAGAGUGGAAUUCCAUGUGUAGCGGUGAAAUGCGUAGAUAUAUGGAGGAACACCGGUGGCGAAAGCGGCUCUCUGGUCUGUAACUGACGCUGAGGCUCGAAAGCGUGGGGAGCAAACAGGAUUAGAUACCCUGGUAGUCCACGCCGUAAACGAUGAGUGCUAGGUGUUAGGCCCUUUCCGGGGCUUAGUGCCGCAGCUAACGCAUUACGCACUCCGCCUGGGGAGUACGACCGCAAGGUUGAAACUCAAAGGAAUUGACGGGGGCCCGCACAAGCGGUGGAGCAUGUGGUUUAA